rnacentral:lncRNA from 10 species
ACCGCGCCUGGUCAAAAAGGGGGUGGUUCUAACUUUCAUCUUAGGGUAGCUGUGAAAAUGAAAGGAGAUGAUACAUCCACAGCACUUGGCACAGGGCUUGGCAUACAGUACAUGCUCAAUAAAGGGAGCUGUUGCCACCUCUUGUGGUCCCUGCUAGGGAGGGUGAGGCCUUGGCGUGGAAAGUGAGAACAGAGCUGGUCCCUACUGAGGUGGACACUCUUCUUGCUCCCUGGGAGGGCACCGCGGGCCCAGGGCAGGCGCUGAGUCGCGUGUGCUCCUCUCUGAUUGCUGCGCAGGUCGGCCGGCUGGCGGAGCUGGGCGCGGCGUCAGGACGGGCCACCAGGCCGGGCUAGGAAGGUGUAGUGGGCCUCAGCGCCGCCAAGGGCGGUCCCGGCUCCUGUAACCGUUGCAGUCUUCUGUCCCUUCACCCAGGUGGGCAAACGCAGAGGCGGGAACAAACUAGCCCUCAAGACGGGAAUAGUAGCCAAGAAGCAGAAGACGGAGGAUGAGGUAUUAACAAGUAAAGGUGACGCGUGGGCCAAGUACAUGGCAGAAGUGAAAAAGUACAAAGCUCACCAGUGCGGUGACGAUGAUAAAACUCGGCCCCUGGUGAAAUGACGCCCCUCCCCCACCUGCCCAUGGCCUGGGACUCUCUGCGAUGUACAUAACUAUUUAAUGCAGCGGCAGCGGCGACAGCCUUCCCUGAGAGGACUUAAAAGCAGAAGGAAACCGAGAUGCUUCCCGCAGCCGUGGACGAUUCUCCAGGACUCUUUUUUUACCUUGAGCACUUGCCUCGUGAGACUUCAUAGAACAGUGGUUUACUGUCCCCCCCUUCUCACCUCCUCAUUCUCUCUGGCUCUUUCUGUCUUCCUCUUCUCACCCUCCUCCCUCCCCUUAGCCAUCACUUCUGGGAAGUAAAGAACUUGACUU